rnacentral:lncRNA from 1 species
GGUCAUCAUCACUUGAGCAAUAUGCUAAUAUACAGCAGUCUCAACAGUGGGAAUGUGCAGAUAGGAAGAAAAACAAACACCGUCAAAGUGGGGUAUGCUGUCUGGCCAUUUGAUCCACUUGGUCACACGACACAGUGCCUCGUACUAGCGCAAGAAUUGCACACAAAGGAAGCCUCCACGGAGGAGUCAAAGUACCUAGUGUUUGCGUUCACUCUCUCAAGCUGGCAUUGAAACAGUGACUCAUUACUUCACUUUCGAGCUUUCGAAUACAAUGACUCUACAUCACGUCUACCUAAUGCCCAUACCACUUGAAAUUACUGAAGCCACUGCUGGUCACAGUUCCCUUUCAAAAUCUACCGAGCUGAAAAUUUCCAGUAUCUGCAUAGCUCAUCACCU